CGUGCCCCCGGUCUAUCAUGCAAGUCGAGCGGACAGAUGGGAGCUUGCUCCCUGAUGUUAGCGGCGGACGGGUGAGUUUAGAGGGUAACCUGCCUGUAAGACUGGGAUAACUCCGGGAAACCGGGGCUAAAACCGGAUGGUUGUCUGAACCGCAUGGUUCAGACAUAAAAGGUGGCUUCGGCUACCACUUACAGAUGGACCCGCGGCGCAUUAGCUAGUUGGUGAGGUAACGGCUCACCAAGGCGACGAUGCGUAGCCGACCUGAGAGGGUGAUCGGCCACACUGGGACUGAGACACGGCCCAGACUCCUACGGGAGGCAGCAGUAGGGAAUCUUCCGCAAUGGACGAAAGUCUGACGGAGCAACGCCGCGUGAGUGAUGAAGGUUUUCGGAUCGUAAAGCUCUGUUGUUAGGGAAGAACAAGUGCCGUUCAAAUAGGGCGGCACCUUGACGGACCAACCAGAAAGCCACGGCUAACUACGUGCCAGCAGCCGCGGUAAUACUUAGGUGGCAAGCGUUGUCCGCCCAUUCUUGGGCGUAAAGGGCUCGCAGGCGGUUUCUUAAGUCUGAUGUGAAAGCCCCUGGCUCGACCGGGGGAGGGUCAUUGGAUACUGGGGGAAUUUGAGGUGCGAAAGAGGAGAGUGGAAUUCCACUUGUAGCGGAGAAAUG
rnacentral:rRNA from 1 species